GCCAAUGUGGCACAGUGGCUUGAGAGUUGGACUACAACUCUGGAGACCAGGGUUUGAUUCCCAGAUUGGCC